GACGUAGGGCGCGAGCGUUGUCCGGAUUUAUUGGGCGUAAAGAGCUCGUAGGCGGCUUGUCGCGUCGUUCGUGAAAACCCGGGGCUCAACUCCGGGCUUGCGGGCGAUACGGGCAGGCUAGAGUUCGGUAGGGGAGACUGGAAUUCCUGGUGUAGCGGUGAAAUGCGUAGAUAUCAGGAGGAACACCGAUGGCGAAGGCAGGUCUCUGGGCUGACACUGACGCUCAUGCACGAAAGCGUGGGGAGCAAACAGG
rnacentral:rRNA from 1 species